AGGCCCUUCGGGGUACUCGAGUGGCGAACGGGUGAGUAACACGUGGGUGAUCUGCCCUGCACUCUGGGAUAAGCCUGGGAAACUGGGUCUAAUACCGGAUAGGACCACACACUUCAUGGUGAGUGGUGCAAAGCUUUUGCGGUGUGGGAUGAGCCCGCGGCCUAUCAGCUUGUUGGUGGGGUAAUGGCCCACCAAGGCGACGACGGGUAGCCGGCCUGAGAGGGUGACCGGCCACACUGGGACUGAGAUACGGCCCAGACUCCUACGGGAGGCAGCAGUGGGGAAUAUUGCACAAUGGGCGCAAGCCUGAUGCAGCGACGCCGCGUGAGGGAUGACGGCCUUCGGGUUGUAAACCUCUUUCAGUAGGGACGAAGCGAAAGUGACGGUACCUACAGAAGAAGGACCGGCCAACUACGUGCCAGCAGCCGCGGUAAUACGUAGGGUCCGAGCGUUGUCCGGAAUUACUGGGCGUAAAGAGCUCGUAGGUGGUUUGUCGCGUUGUUCGUGAAAACUCACAGCUUAACUGUGGGCGUGCGGGCGAUACGGGCAGACUAGAGUACUGCAGGGGAGACUGGAAUUCCUGGUGUAGCGGUGGAAUGCGCAGAUAUCAGGAGGAACACCGGUGGCGAAAGCGGGUCUCUGGGCAGUAACUGACGCUGAAGAACGAAAGCGUGGGUAGCGAACAGGAUUAGAUACCCUGGUAGUCCACGCCGUAAACGGUGGGUACUAGGUGUGGGUUUCCUUCCUUGGGAUCCGUGCCGUAGCUAACGCAUUAAGU
rnacentral:rRNA from 1 species